AGCCCUAAACAAAUGAACCCUCGCCCCCAACCAUUUUCCAUUUUCUCUCAAACCAAACCCCCUUUGCAACCCUAAAAACCCAAGGCCUCCGCGACCUCCGCCGUUCAACGGCUCUGAUGAGGAGUCACACAAUCGUUAAAUUUAUCCCAUAAACCUUGAACCCUAAAGCAAUGAUUCUCUCCUGACAGAACCCAAAACCUAAAGGGUUAAACUAAUCAAAAACCUUACUUUUCACUGCCUUAGCCUCCCACAAACCUAGAUCUACGAUGGUAAAGCGUUUACCUUCAAGAAAAGAGGCGACUAUACUCCGAUGGACAAGGUUUUGGACACUAUCGAGGGGCAUGGGUGCGAGCAAGAGCAGCAUGGACGACGGUGGUUGUGACCUCGGUCUCGGUGGAUGGCCGACAGGCGUGGAUCUUCCUCGAUAAGUUCAUACACUGUCUCGGGUUCUCUGUGCACGCUGGCUUGAGGCUCGAGGAGGACUAGGAGCCGUUGGAUUUCGUCAGAUCCGACGGUGGUGGGCGGCGCUGGAACUUUGACCAGAACCCUAGUGGGCCUUUGAUCUGGACCGUUAGAUGAGAAACUGAUCCAAUGGUCCAGGGCCAGCGGCGGCUGGGCACUUGAAGCUGACACAGGAAAACUCUAAUGGGUUUAGGGCUUACAUCAAACAGGUUGCAUCAUUGGGCCGCUGUGGUUUGGGCUCUGCUCGGGCCAGUUUGGUCCAACUUGUUGUAAUUUGGACUGUAACUAAAACAAAUAAAACACUAAUUAGUCUUUAUUUA